rnacentral:rRNA from 1 species
AUGGCAGGUCAGGGAGAGAUCGUGAGUGAUGUUUUCGGGAAGAAACCAGCGAGUGGAGAAGGUUUGAGGGAUGGGGGCCGUCCUCUUAUCAUUGACAUGGAGGCUGCUCGCAAGGCCAUCAGCGGCUUCCUGGUGGUUGGACGCCUCCUCUCCCCUUUCCANCUAGGUUUGUCGUCAAUACUCCAAAACCAGCUAGGGGUGGCACUAGAUGCACUUACAGCGACCACCCCCCAAGAGGUGGACAGCAACGACGGGAGGUUCAUCCUUAAUUUCGCCACUGAGAGUGACUGUCGAUUCGUGCUUAAGGCGCAACCUUGGCACUUCAAGCUGGAUGGGCUCAUCUUCGCCGAGUUCGACGGCAACGGUGACCCGACAAAGGUUGACCUUGGCGUCAUGACCAUAUGGGUCCAGGUACGCGAUCUUCCGUACGUGCUUAAGACGGAGAGUAUAGGGUGGUCUCUCGAGGAUCAACUGGGAGAGGUGCUGGAGGUAUCGCACUGCAACCAUGUAAUUGUUAAAUACUUGCGUGUGCGCGUGAAGAUCUUAUUGCAUGAACCUCUGAAGACUUUUGUAGAGUUUACCCCUUUAGGUGGUUCAAAGAUUCUUAAGUUUAAUGUAAAUUACGAGAAGCUACCUUUGUACCGUGAGUGUUGUGGGAUUGUGGGUCAUACUUCUGAGAGGUUUUGUAAAAUCCCAAGUGAGAAGAGAGUAGUUUGCUUCCCUAGAAAUCUUAGUGUUGAG